GGGUGCAUGGUCUAGUGGUAUGAUUUUCGCUUCGCAUUGACCAGCCAAUGCGCUUCUGUGAAAGGUCCCCGGUUCGAUCCCGGGUGCAUCCA
rnacentral:tRNA from 1 species